rnacentral:rRNA from 1 species
GGAUGAACGCUGGCGGUCUGCUUAAACACAUGCAAAGUCGAAACGGACCCUUCGGGGUUAGUGGCGGACGGGUGAGUAACGCGUGAGAAUCUGCCUUCAGGUCUGGGACAACAGAAGGAAACUUCUGCUAAUCCGGGAUGAGCCUUUUAGGUAAAAGAUAAAAUUGCCUGGAGAUGAGCUCGCGUCUGAUUAGCUAGUUGGUGUGGUAAAAAGCAUACCAAGGCAACGAUCAGUAGCUGGUCUGAGAGGAUGAGCAGCCACACUGGGACUGAGACACGG